rnacentral:sRNA from 2 species
CAGCCUGUCAUUGGGGAGUAGCCAGCCUCGUCCCCAGAGGCGUUCGCAUCAACAGACUUGGUCGCCGCCGUGCGGCGCCAUGGUGCGGACAGCAGCGUCGCCAAGCGGCGACUUGCCCGGCGAGACCUUUGGCCAGCGAUAUGUUCACCCGGCCGGGCGAACGGUGUCGCUGCGCCAUCGGUUGUC